ACUCCUACGGGAGGCAGCAGUGAGGAAUAUUGGUCAAUGGAGGGAACUCUGAACCAGCCAUCCCGCGUGUAGGAAGACGGCUUACUGGUUGGUAACAUACUUUUAUACAGGAAGAAACGUACCCUCGUGAGGGUGCCUGACGGUACUGUAGGAAUAAGCACCGGCUAACUCCGUGCCAGCAGCCGCGGUAAUACGGAGGGUGCGAGCGUUAUCCGGAUUUAUUGGGUUUAAAGGGUCCGUAGGCGGAUUAAUAAGUCAGUGGUGAAAUCCCAUCGCUUAACGAUGGAACUGCCAUUGAUACUGUUAGUCUUGAAUGAGGGUGCAGUGGUUGGAAUGUGUAGUGUAGCGGUGAAAUGCAUAGAUAUUACACAGAACACCGAUUGCGAAGGCAGAUCACUAACCCUAAAUUGACGCUGAGGGACGAAAGCGUGGGGAGCGAACAGGAUUAGAUACCCUGGUAGGAU
rnacentral:rRNA from 1 species